CAAACCCUAAAACCCAAAGCAACACGUUAACUCCUUCUACUACAGGCGAGUAAGUCUCCAAAGGUCGAGCAUCCGGUAGAUUGCGUAGUGACGUCGUUCGUCCAAAACCCAAUCCAUAACCCCGUAGUCAGCCGAGCUACGAAGACUCUGAUUCUCAUAUUCAGAUGAGAUACGUAUGCAGUGGAUGCGACAUCCGCGCGAGUCAUUAUCAUUUAA